UUAGCUCCAAUAAAUUAUGAACCCUUUGCACUCCUAUGAACAUCCUCCCAUGGGCAACUCCAAAGACAACUCCAUUCAGCCCACGUUUCCUUCUGUGCAAGCUCAUGAAUGGAUCCCACAAAAGUCAUGUUUCAUUCCUAUCACUGUUAAUUCAUAGCAUUGCCUAAGCUGUUUUCUGCAGUUCUACUAAUUUGAAACAUCAAUUGAAGGAGCCGUUCCCAAUGAUCUCUUAGAUCAAUACGCUAUCUGGAGAUUUUUCAUCAUCUUUAAUUCUCCUCCAAUUUUAUUUUUAUUAUUUUUGAUAUGUUGGUGGUGGGAAUGUUGGGCGAAACGCUAAGUUGAGGCAUCGGCCCUUCUCUGGGAUCUUUGCCCCUGGAAAUGUUCACGUUUUCUCGAGCUUGGGCCACCUAGCUUGAACUUGGCUUGAAGAAGGGAGGUAAGUUUGAGCAUGGACUGGCGUAGCUUGUUUACUUAAGCAAGCCCAAACAGAAGUCAAGUGCAUAUUAACAAGCCCCAUAAUCUUACUAAAGCAAGCCAGAAAAAAGGGCAGGUCAAUCUACAAGCAAGGAAAUCAUAAGCUCUAAUUCUAUGCUGCAAGCUUUAUUAACAGGAAAAGGUUUCUAUGCUUCCUCUACAUCUACUGCAUAGAAGAAACGUGCUUUCCCCCAUCCAGCCGUUCAAUUUAGAUCAAGUGAGCCAUUGAUCAUUUGAUUUAGAUCCAAUGCCGCAGAGUAUUACUUUUGUUUCUACAAAUUUUGUGAAUAAGAAAUUUGGUACGUGUCAUCAUCAUAAUGGGGCGCAAUUAAAAAUAUAUUUUAAAAUACUUUUCGAUAAAAUAUAAUGACCAAAAUAUCAUUGGAAAUUUUAUUUUGAUUAUUUUAUUUUGUUGAGAAUAUUUUUUUUAUAUUUUUUACCGGUGCAACUUUAAGAGAGGAGUGGACCCACAAAAUUUAGUUUCAAAAUAGUUUCUAAAAAAAUUAUUAAAAAUAGUGUAAAGUCUGACAAUGUAAUUGGGGUCAUAUUUGCCAUCCAUUUAGAAUGGAUGGUUGGAUAGGGGAAAGCAUAGAAAGCUGUUAAUUAAAUAUGGAUAUCAAACCCACUCAAACCAAGUACAAUCGAAGAUUACCUUAAAAUGCC
rnacentral:lncRNA from 1 species